AGGGGAAUAUUGGACAAUGGGCGAAAGCCUGAUCCAGCCAUGCCGCGUGUGUGAAGAAGGUCUUCGGAUUGUAAAGCACUUUAAGUUGGGAGGAAGGGCAUUAACCUAAUACGUUAGUGUUUUGACGUUACCGACAGAAUAAGCACCGGCUAACUCUGUGCAAGCAGCCGCGGUAAUACAGAGGGUGCAAGCGGUAAUCGGAAUUACUGGGCGUAAAGCGCGCGUAGGUGGUUUGUUAAGUUGGAUGUGAAAUCCCCGGGCUCAACCUGGGAACUGCAUUCAAAACUGACUGACUAGAGUAUGGUAGAGGGUGGUGGAAUUUCCUGUGUAGCGGUGAAAUGCGUAGAUAUAGGAAGGAACACCAGUGGCGAAGGCGACCACCUGGACUAAUACUGACACUGAGGUGCGAAAGCGUGGGGAGCAAACA
rnacentral:rRNA from 1 species